CCUACGGGAGGCAGCAGUAGGGAAUCUUUCACAAUGGGCGAAAGCCUGAUGGAGCAACGCCGCGUGCAGGAUGAAGGCCUUCGGGUUGUAAACUGCUUUUAUAAGCGAGAAAUAUGAUGGUAACUUAUGAAUAAGGAUCGGCUAACUACGUGCCAGCAGCCGCGGUCAUACGUAGGAUCCGAGCAUUAUCCGGAGUGACUGGGUGUAAAGAGUUGCGUAGGUGGCAUAAUAAGUAGCUAGUGAAAUCUGGUGGCUCAACCAUUCAGACUAUUAGCUAAACUGUUAAGCUCGAGACCGUUAGGGGUAACUGGAAUUUCUAGUGUAGGAGUGAAAUCCGUAGAUAUUAGAAGGAACACCAAUAGCGUAGGCAGGUUGCUGGGACGGUUCUGACACUGAGGCACGAAAGCGUAGGGAGCAAACGGGAUUAGAUACCCCUGUAGUC
rnacentral:rRNA from 1 species